AGCCCCCUUCCCUCUCCUUCUUAUAAGCCCACCCAUCUGCCUCACUUUCUUCACUCACUUAUUCCUCUCUCAAAUCUCAGUCUUAGAUUGUGUGCUUUUUCUUAUGGGAGAGAGGGAGAAGCUUUCAGUUCAGAAAGUAGGAAAGAAAUUUCUACAUGAUGACCUAGAACUUCAAGUAUGUAGCACCAUCAACAACCCCCCCAUGGUGUCUAUCACUUUGACAAAUCAAAACCAUGGGCACGAAGAAAUCUCCAGUGAUCGGAGUGCCACCGGAGACUUUCAAUUUGGCGUUGGGAGCUCCGUUGUGACAGUGGCUUGUUCAUGCUAAUUUGGUGCUAUCCUACCUGAGCUUUUCCUCUCAACCUCUCCUUCUUCAUUCUUCAUUUCUUUUUUGACUUGUUGCCUUUUCUUUUUUAUUUUUGUUAUGUCUUCUUGACCUUGUAAGACCUUUUCUUGACCUUGUAAGAUCCCACACCGUUUCUUUUAUCCUCUUUUUUCAUCGCUUUACAAACCUUACAACUGUAAGUGCAUAUGUAAGGUUUGGUCAUUGUCUUUCUUCGUUCCCACCCAACUCAUGUUCUCCUUCCUUGUCUAUCCCUCCUGAGCUAUAUAUUCAAAUUAGACUUAUCAUCUCUAAAUUCUCUAAUCGAAAAAUUAUCCCUGGUGUGAACCUCCCAAGAGUUCAUACAAUACAAGCAUUGAAGAUCUCAAGUUCAAUUUGCCUUUUAUCUUCUCCUCAUGUAAUUUUAUGAUAGUAAAUUUUUUAGUGCUCUUUGAGCUAGGGUUGUAAGGAGUACUCAAACUAUUAAUAAUAUAUCUUUUUGUUAUUUACUCUCUCUCUCUCUCAAUUGAAUCAUAUUAUUAGAUAUGAAUAAGUCUAAAAAUACAAAAAUUAAUACAGAAUCAAAUAAGCACAAUUUUUUAAAAUUGAGUUCCACCAAUAAAUUUUUGUAUUCUUCCGUUUCGUUUUGUAAUUAAUUUCUGUGUGGUAAUGGAAUAGAUAUGUGCUCUGACAGCCAUUAAUUUCGUUGUUUUUUGUGUUGUUUGGCUGAGAAACUGAGUGAGAGAAUAAAUAUUCUUUGCAGAUCUGUGGAAAGAGUUCUCCUCGUGACUGCUCUCAUCUCAUGUACAAAAUGUCCUCUGUAGUAUUGGGAUUCUCUCUCUCUCUCUCUCUCUCUCUCCUUUUUGAACAUACUCAGAGCUCAUCACAUUCAUGAACUGUAGAAAAAACACUCAUAUCUUGGAUGAUCAGCUUUUCUACAAGCAACUUUUGUAGUACAGAAAAGCCUUUUUUACUCAGAGAGAGAGAGCUGUGUUUUACUUUUCUCUUCUUUUUUUUCUCUCCUCUUUUGUUUUCACUGUUUUUUGUACAAGACAAUUACAACUGGUUAAGUAAAGGUCAGUUUGACAUUUGUGAUA